UACGUAGGGUGCAAGCGUUGUCCGGAAUUAUUGGGCGUAAAGAGCUCGUAGGCGGUCUGUUGCGUCGGCUGUGAAAACCCGGGGCUCAACUCCGGGCCUGCAGCCGAUACGGGCAGACUAGAGUUCGGCAGGGGAGACUGGAAUUCCUGGUGUAGCGGUGAAAUGCGCAGAUAUCAGGAGGAACACCGGUGGCGAAGGCGAGUCCCUGGACAGGUCCUGACGCUGAGGCACGAAAGCUAGGGGAGCAAACAGG
rnacentral:rRNA from 1 species